GGGGUUGUGGCUCAGCAGUAGAGCACUCGCCUACCAUGUGUGAGGCCCUGAGUUCGAUCCUCAGCACCA
rnacentral:tRNA from 1 species